AUUCUGUCUGUUAAAGUGUGUAUUGAAAGUGAAAAUUAUUCUUGAAUUAAGCAUCUCAGUGAUUUAAAACAAAUAGGCAAGUUUAUUGACAAUAAAAGAAUUGCAGUUUAACGAUAAAACAUUCUAUUCUUUGGUAUUGUUCUAAAUUUACUUAUUGAUUAUAAAUACAUAAAAGUGCGACGCAAUGAAUAUAAAGGAAGCAACUACCCGGUCGAUACUGCCCUUGAUGUAAAGGUUAAACGAAACCGGGUGCAACGAUAGUGAAUGCAUUCAAUAAUAAGAAAUGUAUAUAAGAGCAUUAUGAAUGUGAUAAAAUCUACAUUUUGUAUUACAUUUUUAUUAUGUCAUACAUUAUAUCAUAUCGAUUUGCUGAGAGAGAUAAUAAAAGAUAAAAUAGAAUAAAUAAUCCGUCUUUGCAUUAGCACUCUACUUAAACGUGACAUUCUAUAUCGAUUUCUACAUUGUUUGCUUAUUUGUAUUGAAUUUAUUAGUAUUUUAUACUUUUAAGUGUUGAAUUGUGAGUUGUUUAAAUUGUAUCGUAUGUAAAUAUAUAAAUAUGAUCAUUAAAUCUUUUUUG